rnacentral:rRNA from 1 species
GACAGAGGGUGCAAACGUUGUUCGGAAUUACUGGGCGUAAAGCGCGCGUAGGCGGAUCGGAAAGUCGGGGGUGAAAUCCCGGGGCUCAACCCCGGAAUGGCCUUCGAAACUCCCGGUCUUGAGUUCGAGAGAGGUGGGUGGAAUUCCGAGUGUAGAGGUGAAAUUCGUAGAUAUUCGGAGGAACACCAGUGGCGAAGGCGGCCCACUGGCUCGACACUGACGCUGAGGUGCGAAAGCCAGGGGAGCGAACGGG